GCCACAUCAAACUGAAACACCAGUUCCCAUACAAUCACUGAAGUUAAGCAACAUCGAGCCUAAUCAGUAUCUACAUGGGUGACUACUUGGAAAUACUAGGUGGUGUAAG